AGUCUGGUCAUGUUGAGGUCAUCUAGGAUUGUGAUGAAACCAUGGGAAAGCUCUGAUCAUCAGUCCCGGUCUUUGGAUCACCCUGGGGAGACCUCAGCCAUCCCAUGGACAGUAUGAGUUAGUUAUGACUUCUCUGUGGAUUUGACUUCUACCCCUGGUCUGGAGACCUAUGCACACUCCUAGCAGGAAUCUCUACCCAAGAAAACUAGCCCACUCCUGAGGUAAAUAGACUGCUACCAAGAUAACUAACCCACUCCUGAGGUAAAUAGGCCAUUCUCAUGGUAACAAGCCUGCUCUGAAGACAACUAGUCCCCUCCCAAGAUAACUCAUGUACUCCAUACUAAGCAGUUCACUCUACUGCUGGAAGACCUAUUCUCAAUACUAACUGGCAUGCUCUUUUACUAGUUAACACAGUCCCAUAACUAACCCACCCCAGUAAUUACCAUCUCACUUCCCCACUAACAAGCUCACCUUUGUAUUGAUGAGCAUACUCCAAAACAACCUACUCACCCCUAUACCGACCGCCUACUUCCUUACUAACAGACCCUCAUUUUAUGUACCUUCCCCCAGCAUGACCCUCUGACUUAGCUCUUGAGGAUGCAAUCUCUCAACGGGACUGGAGCACCAUUCCCAGCACCAAUGCAUCACUGGAUGCAUGGCAGUCAAUGACAUCUGAACCAUGACCCAUCACCCUGCAUGAAGAGAUGAGCAACACCCAUCAACUUCUCUCUCGUCUCUGGAGACUGAGAACCAAGGAUUAGGACUGAUGUCUUGCAGAUGCUUAAGAGGCUCUUGACCCCUCACACCAGGUAUCAGAUGAUAUGCUGAUGUGAGGCUGUGACACCGAGAUAAAGCAGGACGCUGAUGCAAUGGGCCAGGGCCUGCCAUGCCGUUUCAACAAGUCCUGACAUGCUGAGGCAGCUCUUAGAGUUGGUGGAAAGCCGGGAAACCGAGAGAGCCUUCUGAGAAGUUUGAAAGAGCGUGGGGAGAGGAGGUGGUCACGGGCCAUCACUGAAGGAAGUCAGGGCAGGAACUUGAAGCAGAAACCAUGGAGGACGCUGCUUGCUGGCUCGCUACAGCUCGUUCUUAGCCCGCGUUCUUACAUAGACCAGGGCCGCCUGACUAUGGAUGGUGCUUCCCACAGUGGGGUGAAGCCUCCCAUUUCAAUCAUCAAAACAACUCCCCAAAGACAAGCUCGCAGGCGAGUGUGAUCUAGACAGUUCCUCAACUGAGGCUUCUCUCCGGUGACUUUAGGCCGUGUCCAGUUGAGAGCUGAGGUUACCCAGGAAAAACAGGAGGGAACAAAUGAUGAAUAAGAACAAAACCCUGCAGUGAGAGCACAGGUGGACGGCUGGACCUUGACUAGGGGAAGCCUUCUGUGAUCCUCUGAGGAUGGAGGGCACUGAGGACGUGCUGAUCACGGAGCAGAGUCAGUAUAGAAACCUUCCAUCCACCUUGCCACUGAGCAAUUCAGAGGAAACUUCACAACUAAACCGUAACGCACUCUCUCAAAGGAAAUUGCCUACACAGAAGAAAAUUCUCAGCCAUGACCUUGGGCAGAUUUAUUUCUAUAAAUGUGUCACAUGACUACAUUUAUAUUC